UAAAGGUUGAUCCUUCUGCCCACCUGCGGAAGCCUUGAAAUGCAGCCGGAAACGGUUGGCUGAGCGACAGUAAAUAAUUCGGCCUUGAUGCAAGUCAGCUCUCGCUGGCGACACUUUCGAAUUGCCGGGGACGUCCUAAAGACCUUCACACCAAACCAGCCGGGGAAACCCGCUGGCGGCCCGUGGGAAACUAUCGGGGUAUGGUAACAGAGGAAGGUAUGAACCAGAGCGUCUCUGGGGAAAUGGAUUAUCCGCAGCGAAGCCCCUCCCCCUUCUUGUAAGGCAUGGGGAACGUUCACAGACUAAGCGGAAGUGGGUGGAGUCCUUGGUAUCUCCGCUUAAGAUAUAGUCGGGCUCCCUGAGAAAUCUUGGAGACGCAAAGCCUUCUGGUAACCGUUCCGUAGGUGAACCUGCGGAAGGAUCAUUA
rnacentral:rRNA from 1 species